rnacentral:lncRNA from 1 species
UCAUUGGCGCUAAGCGUGAGGGAAUACUAGACGUUUGGUAAUUUCUCCUCCGACCAGGAUAAAAGAUCCCAUUGAAGCAGCUAAUCCCAUGCAUAUUAUAUGGACAUCUGGUCGCACAAAUUGCAUAGUAUCAUAAAUAGCCACCCCAGGUAUUACCCAGCCCCCAGGAGGGUUUAUAAACAAAUACAGAUCUUUGGUCUCAUCCUCGAUACUGAGAUAUACCAUAAGACCAAUAAGUUGAUUCGAAAUCUCGCUAUCAACCUCUUUUGCAUAGUAUCAUAAAUAGCCACCCCAGGUAUUACCCAGCCCCCAGGAGGGUUUAUAAACAAAUACAGAUCUUUGGUCUCAUCCUCGAUACUGAGAUAUACCAUAAGACCAAUAAGUUGAUUCGAAAUCUCGCUAU